GUGCCAGCAGCCGCGGUAWACGGAGGGUGCAGCGUAUCGAUACUGGCGUAAGCGCACGCAGCGUUUGUUAGUCAGAUGUGAAUCCCCGGGCUCACCUGGGAACUGCAUCUGAUACUGCAAGCUUGAGUCUCGUAGAGGGGGUAGAAUUCCAGGKGUAGCGGUGAAAUGCGUAGAGAUCUGGAGGAAUACCGGUGGCGAAGGCGGCCCCCUGGACGAAGACUGACGCUCAGGUGCGAAAGCGUGGGGAGCAAACAGGAUUAGAUACCUGGUAGUCCACGCCGUAAACGAUGUCGACUUGGAGGUUGUGCCCUUGAGGCGUGGCUUCCGGAGCUAACGCGUUAAGUCGACCGCCUGGGGAGUACGGCCGCAAGGUUAAAACUCAAAUGAAUUGACGGGGGCCCGCACAAGCGGUGGAGCAUGUGGUUUAAUUCGAUGCAACGCGAAGAACCUUACCUGGUCUUGACAUCCACGGAAGUUUUCAGAGAUGAGAAUGUGCCUUCGGGAACCGUGAGACAGGUGCUGCAUGGCUGUCGUCAGCUCGUGUUGUGAAAUGUUGGGUUAAGUCCCGCAACGAGCGCAACCCUUAUCCUUUGUUGCCAGCGGUCCGGCCGGGAACUCAAAGGAGACUGCCAGUGAUAAACUGGAGGAAGGUGGGGAUGACGUCAAGUCAUCAUGGCCCUUACGACCAGGGCUACACACGUGCUACAAUGGCGCAUACAAAGAGAAGCGAMCUCGCGAGAGCAAGCGGACCUCAUAAAGUGCGUCGUAGUCCGGAUUGGAGUCUGCAACUCGACUCCAUGAAGUCGGAAUCGCUAGUAAUCGUGGAUCAGAAUGCCACGGUGAAUACGUUCCCGGGCCUUGUACACACCGCCCGUCACACCAUGGGAGUGGGUUGCAAAAGAAGUAGGUAGCUAACCUCGGAGGGCGCUACCACUUUGAUA
rnacentral:rRNA from 1 species